rnacentral:rRNA from 1 species
UACGUAGGUGGCAAGCGUUGUCCGGAUUUCUUGGGUUUAAAGGGUGCGUAGGCGGCCCUGUAAGUCAGUGCUGAAAUAUCCCAGCUUAACUGGGAGGGUGGCAUUGAUACUGCGGGGCUAGAGUACAGAUGAGGUAGGCGGAAUUGACGGUGUAGCGGUGAAAUGCUUAGAUAUCGUCAAGAACACCUAUAGCGAAGGCAGCUUACUAGGCUGUAACUGACGCUGAGGCACGAAAGCGUGGGGAGCAAACAGG